rnacentral:rRNA from 1 species
UACGUAGGGGGCGAGCGUUGUCCGGAAUGACUGGGCGUAAAGCGCGCGCAGGCGGCCUGACGCGCCGGCCGUGAAAGCCCCUGGCUCAACCAGGGCGGGUCGGUCGGGACGGUCAGGCUGGAGGGUGUCAGAGGGGGGUGGAAUGCCGCGUGGAGCAGUGAAAUGCGUAGAGAUGCGGCGGAACACCGGCGGCGAAGGCGGCCCCCUGGGGCACAUCUGACGCUGAGGCGCGAAGGCCGGGGGAGCGAACGGG